rnacentral:rRNA from 1 species
ACACGACUACGAGUUUGAUCCUUGCUCAGGAUGAACGCUGGCGGCGUGCCUAAUACAUGCAAGUCGAACGAGGUGCUUUUGUAGCAAUACGAAAGUAUCCUAGUGGCGAACGGGUGAGUAACGCGUUGGUGACCUACCCCAAAGUGUGGGAUAACAGUUCGAAAGAACUGCUAAUACCGCAUGUGGUUAUCGGAUUUAGAAACUGAUAACUAAAGGAGCAAUUCGCUUUGGGAGGGACCUGCGUCCCAUCAGCUAGUUGGUGAGGUAAUGGCUCACCAAGGCUACGACGGGUAGGGGACCUGAGAGGGUGACCCCCCACAAUGGAACUGAAACACGGUCCAUACACCUACGGGUGGCAGCAGUAGGGAAUAUUGCACAAUGGGCGAAAGCCUGAUGCAGCAACGCCGCGUGUGCGAUGAAGGCCCUCGGGUCGUAAAGCACUUUUCUGAGAGAUGAGCAAGGACAGUAUCUCAGGAAUAAGUCUCGGCUAACUACGUG